GUCCAGGCCAGGCUGGGCAGCCGGGCGGUGGCGGCGCCCGGGUCGCGGGCCAGUUGCGGGUCGUCGCCGGUCGGCGCGACGGCCGGGGUAC
rnacentral:tRNA from 1 species